GAGAACUUGCCCUUCGGGGUAGAUCUCCCACCCUUUGUUAACGUUACCUAUGUUGCUUUGGCAGGCCAGACGUUUCGUCUACCGGCUUAGGCUGGACAGUGCCUGCCAGAGGACCCAAACUCCUUAUUUGAUGUCGUCUGAGUACUAUAUAAUAGUUAAAACUUUCAACAACGGAUCUCUUGGUUCU
rnacentral:misc_RNA from 1 species